rnacentral:rRNA from 1 species
UUCCGGUUGAUCCUGCCGGAGGCCAUUGCUAUUGGAGUCCGAUUUAGCCAUGCUAGUCGAGCGGGCUUAGACCCGCGGCGAAAAGCUCAGUGACACGUGGCCAAACUGCCCUGUGGAGACGGACACCCUCGGGAAACUGAGGCUAACCCGUCACACCGCUCCCACGCUGGAAUGCCGGGAGCCCGAAACGCUUCGGCGCCACAGGAUGUGGCUGCGGCCGAUUAGGUAGACGGUGGGGUAACGGCCCACCGUGCCAAUAAUCGGUACGAGUUGUGAGAGCAAGAGCUCGGAGACGGAAUCUGAGACAAGAUUCCGGGCCCUACGGGGCGCAGCAGGCGCGAAACCUUUACACUGCACGCGAGUGCGAUAGGGGGACUCCAAGUGCGAGGGCAUACAGUCCUCGCUUUUCUGGACCGUAAGGUGGUCCAGGAGCAAGUGCUGGGCAAGACCGGUGCCAGCCGCCGCGGUAAUACCGGCAGCACAAGUGAUGGCCAAUCUUAUUGGGCCUAAAGCGUCCGUAGCCGGCCGAUCGGGUCCGUCGGGAAAUCCGCGUGCUCAACGCGCGGGCGUCCGGCGGAAACCAGUCGGCUUGGGGCCGGAAGACUCGAGGGGUACGUCUGGGGUA